rnacentral:rRNA from 1 species
GAGUGGCGAACGGGUGAGUAAUGCAUCGGAACGUGCCCAGUCGUGGGGGAUAACGCAGCGAAAGCUGUGCUAAUACCGCAUACGAUCUAUGGAUGAAAGCGGGGGACCGUAAGGCCUCGCGCGAUUGGAGCGGCCGAUGUCAGAUUAGCUAGUUGGUGGGGUAAAGGCCCACCAAGGCGACGAUCUGUAGCUGGUCUGAGAGGACGACCAGCCACACUGGAACUGAGACACGGUCCAGACUCCUACGGGAGGCAGCAGUGGGGAAUUUUGGACAAUGGGCGCAAGCCUGAUCCAGCAAUGCCGCGUGCAGGAAGAAGGCCUUCGGGUUGUAAACUGCUUUUGUACGGAACGAAACGGUCUGGGCUAAUACCCCGGGCUAAUGACGGUACCGUAAGAAUAAGCACCGGCUAACUACGUGCCAGCAGCCGCGGUAAUACGUAGGGUGCAAGCGUUAAUCGGAAUUACUGGGCGUAAAGCGUGCGCAGGCGGUUUUGUAAGACAGGCGUGAAAUCCCCGGGCUCAACCUGGGAAUUGCGCUUGUGACUGCAAAGCUGGAGUGCGGCAGAGGGGGAUGGAAUUCCGCGUGUAGCAGUGAAAUGCGUAGAUAUGCGGAGGAACACCGAUGGCGAAGGCAAUCCCCUGGGCCUGCACUGACGCUCAUGCACGAAAGCGUGGGGAGCAAACAGGAUUAGAUACCCUGGUAGUCCACGCCCUAAACGAUGUCAACUGGUUGUUGGGUCUCUUCUGACUCAGUAACGAAGCUAACGCGUGAAGUGACCGCCUGG